CCUCUGGGCCCAACGCAGGAGGCCCUCAGCACCCGAAAACAUCUUCCUCCUCCCCACCCGAGCCUGGAGCACUCUAACCCUCGGAGACCCCCUAAGCCCCGUUCCUCCGCAGACCCAGGCCCUCCGGAAGGGGUGAGUGGGGAGGGGCUUUCCUGAGCCUGGAGCUGGGCUUUGGGGCAGCCUGCGACCCUCCCCGCUUGUGUCCCUUCUCCUGUGAUCUCUGUGUUUUCCCUUUUCUUUCUGGGGCCAGGAAGUCGGGGUCAACUCCCAGGCCUCAGAUGCAGGGGCCCAGAACACCUGCUCUCACCUGAGCCCCAGGUGAAGGGGCCUGGAACACCUCCUGUCACCUGAGCCCCAGGUGAAGGGGCCCGGGAACACCUCUCACCUGAACCCGGGGGUCCCAUCCCAGGAAGAAGGGCCAUCUCAGGACAUGAGUCCUCAGGGGCCCUGCACAUUCAAUCUGAAGGUGACCCUGGCCUGGCUGAAGCUGGAAGAGCUGUGGGGACUCAGCCUGUAAACAGAGCGUAAGGUUCACAUGCUGGUUGCUUAAUCCGUUUCUGGAGGAAAAGUAUGACCCCCACUUGUGAUGGGGUCCUUGUGCGGUGGGGACCGGGGCCGGCGGGCUCCAGGCCAGCACACCUAACCCAUGGAUGUGGAACCUACGGCCCAGAAGGAAUGUUGCAUGAGUCGGAUCCCAGUCCAUUGUCAGUGGAGGGUGAGGGUGACCCCAUCUGAUAUUUUUGUGCUCAUCCUCAUACAACCAUUUGGGGAUGUGCCUAUUAGGGCUCCGUAAGAGCUCAGAUGCCUGGGAAGCCCAGCCCCUCAGGUGCCCCCACACACAGCCUUCCCUUGACGCCUACAUUUCUAGGCACAUGUGAGGCAUCUUUCCUGGAGCCCCGAGCCAGCCCUGUCCCUCCCCAGUGCAGCAUGGCACUCAGGAGAUACAGGCUGGACAUGGGGCAGUCGUUCUGGGGAGGCC
rnacentral:lncRNA from 1 species